rnacentral:rRNA from 1 species
GUGGGGAAUAUUGGACAAUGGGGGGAACCCUGAUCCAGCCAUGUCGCGUGUGUGAAGAAGGCCUUUUGGUUGUAAAGCACUUUAAGCGAGGAGGAGGCUACCGAGAUUAAUACUCUUGGAUAGUGGACGUUACUCGCAGAAUAAGCACCGGCUAACUCUGUGCCAGCAGCCGCGGUAAUACAGAGGGUGCAAGCGUUAAUCGGAUUUACUGGGCGUAAAGCGCGCGUAGGUGGCCAAUUAAGUCAAAUGUGAAAUCCCCGAGCUUAACUUGGGAAUUGCAUUCGAUACUGGUUGGCUAGAGUAUGGGAGAGGAUGGUAGAAUUCCAGGUGUAGCGGUGAAAUGCGUAGAGAUCUGGAGGAAUACCGAUGGCGAAGGCAGCCAUCUGGCCUAAUACUGACACUGAGGUGCGAAAGCAUGGGGAGCAAACAGGAUUAGAAACCCGGGUAGUCC